rnacentral:rRNA from 1 species
UAUGUGAUCGUCUCUCGCAUAUCAAUAAGCGGAGGAAAAGAAAAUAACUAUGAUUCCCCUAGUAGAGGCGAUUGAACAGGGAAGAGCACAAAAUGUAAAUCUCCGUAGCAAUACGGCGAAUUGUAGUCUCAAGUUGCAUUACCAGUGUCGUCGCAAGGUUAAUUUUCCUGGAAUGGAGAACCAUAGAGGGUGAGAGUCCCGUCUUGCUUUGCGAUCCGAUGCAUACGGUGUGUAAACAAAGAGUCGCGCUCCUUGGGAAUGGAGCGCUAAUCGGGUGGUAAAUGUCAUCCAAUGCUAAAUAUUGAUGGGAGACCGAUAGCAAACAAGUACCGUGAGGGAAAGAUGAAAAGAACUUUGAAAAGAGAGUUAAACAGUACGUGAAAUUGUCAAAAGGGAAGCGUUUGACACCAGUGUUGUUUUUCUGAAAAUCAAUUAAAGAACUGUUUAUGCUAAGUUGUUUAGACUUUAUCAGCUAACUGUUUAGUUUUGAGCUUUUCUUUAAUGCACUUUUCAGUUAACAAGUCAACAUCAAUUUCUUUUGCUGUAAAAAAGCUUGAGGAAGGUGGCUUGAGAUUCGUCUUAAGUGUUUAUAGCCUCUUGCCUAUGCAGUCGGAGAGAUUGAGGUCUGCAGCGUAGAUCCUUCGGGGCUAAAUGCAUUUGUGCUAAGUUAUAGCAUUUUAUAGACAACUUGUUGACUAUGAUUUGUCUUGUAGCUUACUCGCUUAUGUUAUUUUACCUACGCUUAGGAUGUUGAGUCAUCACACAUCUCU